UCAGUACCCGUCCACCCCACCUGCCGCCAAUUUCUCAGGUUCUGGUGGCAAGGCCUACCCUGGCAAUUCACAUGCCUUCCUUUCGGCCUCAGCUCGGCCCCGUGGUGCUUCACCAAGCUGCUGAAGCCAGUAGUUGCACAUCUACGAGCACGAGGAAUUCGGUGCAUUAUCUACCUGGACGACCUUCUACUGUUUUGCUGCGACAGGUCCAGACUGACUGAA